CAUGGUGCAUGGUCAAUAGUUGAUGGAAUUCUCCUGACUCAAUCCUUUUUGGUGAAUACAUUUUUUAUUUUUUGCGAUUUUUUCGUGUCAAGAACCCGUGAUUAAAGGCUUAGAGGAUCUAAAAAUAUUUAAAACCUGCGAUGGACAUUACAAAAGAAGUGGAAAGCGCAUUGGAAGACGAGGGUUAUGUAAAAAUCGACUCGACAUCUCCAAGGACAAUGUCCACCUCCUCCUCUCCUGUUACCAUUGGGGAUAAAAAAUCGAGUUCAACCGGCGUCACUUCGGUUUAUUCGCACUCUGUGACCCAAGUAACGAGCCCUGUUCAGCAGAGGAUUCGCACAGACGAUUCAGCGAGUGAUCUUAUGGAAAAUAAAAAUGGCAAAACUUCAGUAAAUGUUCCUUCAACUUCUUCAUCAACGUGGCAAUAUUCUGACCAGGAUCCUGAUGAAAAUGAAGAUUUAACUGGUGGAGUUUGGGGCUGGAUGUCCACUGCAAUGUCAGUUGGAUUACAAACAACGCAAAACAUUGGUAGAAAUAUUGUGGAGAAAACAAAGACUUCUGUUGAAAGUGUGAUCACAACACUUGAUCCAGAAAUGGAGGACUAUUUAUACAGAAGAGAACAGUCUAUAAGCCUGGCUGUAGCAACCACCGAUACAGAAGCUGUAGAAGCAAUAAAAGAUGGAUUCCGUCAAGUUUUUGAACAUGUUUCAGUGCAGUCAAAUUCCUCAACAUCUGGGAUUGCCCCCCUCCCUAUUGGGUUUUCAGCUGGAGUGAAGGGUGCACGGCAUAGAAUAGCCAAUUUAGUGCACGGAAAGAAAGUGCAGGAAGGUCAUGUGAUCAUUGGAGUGGAAGAAAUGUUGUCAGAGCUGCUACCUGGCAGGUGGUUUGGUUUAACAUGUCUGGCACUGAGUGACCCAACCUCAAAGACAGAGCUUGAAACAUUCUCCCAAUCAGUCCAAAUUCCCAGUGUUUAUAUCAAGAAAGCAGAAGAAAGCACACCCUCUAAUUACAACUUAAGAUGGUCAGGCCUAUCAUUUACUCUCGGAGAGGUCAUGUUAGGGUCUGGGCAAGAACAUGGUGAUUGGCAUUCUAAAAUAUCAGGUUCCUCUAAAAGACAGAUUCUUACUUUAGCAGCAAGGAGUUUAGCAGGGCAGUUUAGAGAAAGGUUGAAGGCUAGUGCUGACUCACUGAUGGAAAAUGCAUUAGUUAUGUAACAAGUUAAUACACUUCUAGUAUAUUCAUAUUUGAUUCUAUGCACAUGGUUUUGACUACUAAGCCAAUGUUAUUUAAAUUGUUCUUCCUACUCAACAAGUAUGAUUGUUUAAACUGCACUAGUGGACUUCAGAAAAAUAUCUAGUAGCGUGAAGUGUUUAAGUUACCUUCAAAUGCUUGUUUACUUGACAAGAGAAAGAACAGCAAGCAAACAAACAGAUUAUGCAAAAUUUCACAGUUUACAUUACACAAAUUAUUAUACUUAAUGUAGGAGUUUAUAGAAUCCUUCAACUAUUUCUUCUCACACACAAUGCAUGUGAACAGAUCAUGUGACUGAGUAUGCACCAGGGAAUAUCCACUGAUAUACCUCAAGUUAUUUCCCCAAUUUUCAAAGCCGACAUCCAUAAGUCUUAGUUUGAGAUUUGAUUCAAGGUGAGAAGGUGUUUAGCUGUUGUUAGAGACUAAGGGACUUGUUUGUUUGUUUACAAAGUGGUACCUGAGAGCAUUGAAAGUGAAAAUUCCAUGGACCAAAUGCUCACGGUUUUCCUCCAAGCUAUUUGCAUUUCGGAACAGAUAAUGUACAUGGGCAAAUAUCUGAACAUAUUUUCACUCCAAUUGAAGGCUAUUUACAGUAUUAUAUACUAUUAUAUUUUACUAUAUACUAUUAUGUCAUACUAUAAAGUUAAAUGAAGUGAUUGGAUAUAGGUUAUCACUAGUACCUCGACCACUCAGGCAGCAUGCAGUAUAAUAGUAUUGAUACAAACCUAACUACUUACCUUUCAAAUAUCAUUCAUAAUAGUACUUAUAAUAAAAAGAAUACUUUAUCAAUCCUGGCAAUUUAUUUAAUAUAUAUAAUGUAUAAUCAGAGCCCACAGUAUGGAGGGUACUGUAGUUUCCUUCCUUAAACCCAGAUAAUUGAAGGGAGUUUCAUUGUGCACCUAUUGUGAAUUAUAUUUAUCACUAAUGCUAGAGUUCUAUAAAUAGUUAUUGUACAUUGUUAUGUAAAUCUGUGUUAUGGUAAAUUCAGAGUUUAUUGGUGCUAGCCUAGUGUUAAGAUAACUUAUGGCAAUUUGAAUAGAUCAGAUGUAAAAUAUAUUUUAAAUGAAUGUAGAAUAAAUUGCAUUGAAAAAGAAGUAACACACCUUACUAUGGAAGAAAACAGAUUUGAAAACAAAUCAUUAGUUUCAGGGAUUAUUUUCUGUUAAUUUCUAAAGUAUAAAUGUUAAACUUUCAUUGGUACAUUGACAAAAUGCAUAGAGGAAUAAAGUAUUCAAAAUUUAA
rnacentral:misc_RNA from 1 species